CCUACGGGAGGCUGCAGUGGGGAAUAUUGCACAAUGGGCGCAAGCCUGAUGCAGCCAUGCCGCGUGUGUGAAGAAGGCCUUCGGGUUGUAAAGCACUUUCAGCGGGGAGGAAGGCGGUGAGGUUAAUAACCUCAUCGAUUGACGUUACCCGCAGAAGAAGCACCGGCUAACUCCGUGCCAGCAGCCGCGGUAAUACGGAGGGUGCAAGCGUUAAUCGGAAUUACUGGGCGUAAAGCGCACGCAGGCGGUCUGUCAAGUCGGAUGUGAAAUCCCCGGGCUCAACCUGGGAACUGCAUUCGAAACUGGCGGGCUAGAGUCUUGUAGAGGGGGGUAGAAUGCCAGGUGUAGCGGUGGAAUGCGUAGAGAUCUGGAGGAAUACCGGUGGCGAAGGCGGCCCCCUGGACAAAGACUGACGCUCAGGUGCGAAAGCGUGGGGAGCAAACAGGAUUAGAUACCCGAGUAGUC
rnacentral:rRNA from 1 species